UGCCCGGUAGUGUAAUGGUAACACAACGGCUUUUGGAGCCGUCUUUCGUGGUUCGAAUCCACGCCGGGCAGCCA
rnacentral:tRNA from 1 species